GACGAACGCUGGCGGCGUGCUUAACGCAUGCAAGUCGAACGGAAAGGCCCUGCUUUUGUGGGGUGCUCGAGUGGCGAACGGGUGAGUAACACGUGAGUAACCUGCCCUUGACUUUGGGAUAACUUCAGGAAACUGGGGCUAAUACCGGAUAGGAGCUCCUGCUGCAUGGUGGGGGUUGGAAAGUUUCGGCGGUUGGGGAUGGACUCGCGGCUUAUCAGCUUGUUGGUGGGGUAGUGGCUUACCAAGGCUUUGACGGGUAGCCGGCCUGAGAGGGUGACCGGCCACAUUGGGACAGAGAUACGGCCCAGACUCCUACGGGAGGCAGCAGUGGGGAAUAUUGCACAAUGGGCGGAAGCCUGAUGCAGCAACGCCGCGUGCGGGAUGACGGCCUUCGGGUUGUAAACCGCUUUCGCCUGUGACGAAGCGUGAGUGACGGUAAUGGGUAAAGAAGCACCGGCUAACUACGUG
rnacentral:rRNA from 1 species